AAACAUGGAAUUCUACCAAUAGCUAGACUCCAUCAAUAAGCAAUAUAGAUUUGCCCCAAUGGCAGUGUUAACAUGAAAAUAACGGAAGGUGCGAGAUAAAAGCUAGGUGGUAGGACUGUAAAGAGUGGCUGCAAGUCAGCGUCUCUAGCAUUCAGUCACAAAGACAUACAACUCCAGCCAGAGCAAUUCUCAACCAUGCUUCUUUCUCAGUAGCACAAUAGCUGGAAAAUGUAUCUUUCUUAAUAACUGUACAUCAAUACCGCAAAUACACACUUACUGUGACAGAUUCCAAACUUAGUACAAAUUCCCCUCUCCAGUUCAUCUUGAAAUUAAGAGAUCAGAAGAAAGUAGGAUUUCCAAUUGUGCUAUACCAAUCAGGAUACAUUUAUUGUUGAAAACUAUAUACAUAGAUGAUCAUGCGGCCAGAGCUAGCGCUCAGCAACAAUAGUCCAGUUCUCUUUUGUCCGCCACUUUCUCAAAGUUAAGCUGAAUUGCUCGUUCCUAUCUCUAUGCCGUUACAAAUGAGCAGACUCCAUGUUACCUGGUGUUUAUCAAGUCAAAAAAAUGGCAUUUAGCAUGGAAGGCUGAAAUUCUAGGCAUCAAUCUUGUGAACAGAUGAAUUAUGAAGCAAAAGAUACACACUGCAGAGGAAAACUACAUGAGAAAUGAUUAAUGGAAAACAAUAUAAUUUGUGUAUUGUAAGAACUGAAAACAGCGGAGGACCAAUAUACUUCUUAUAGUAAUAAUUCAUAUCCAAAAAGUAAUCGAUUAUGGGAGCAUAUAACGCUGAUUUAAGCAGACAUUUCAAUAAAAACAUUUCAAAGAAUUAUAUCCAACUAAUUACUACAACGGGAUUUACUGUCAGCAUACAUCUAUAUUCAGUUAGAGAUUAUGGAGAUCCAAGGAGAAUUAUCUAGGUUGUAUGACCUGAGUGCGUAAAUCCUACAAAGGCUAAUUAAUCAUCAGAUACCUUAACGUCUCAAAAAGCUUAAUCCUUAGAAUAUUUUCAUAUCUAGAAAGAAAAUAAUCACAGCAUGUAAUCACUAAAACACGUAAAAAAAUACAGUCAAGUCGAUUUUUCAUUUUUACAGAACAAUUGGUGAGCAUGACAAUGAACUAUCGUAUCACUAAAAUGUAGCAGCCAAUGGGACCCGCAGAAACCUAUACAUCUAGAAGAAAAUAGCAUCCAAAAUUGUACCAUUGAAGGGAACUGAUACUUAGACCAAGAUAAAGUCUGCCUCACGGCCACACACACACACUCAGUUACAAUCUGCUUAGUCGGCCUGUGAGAGGAGCUUGUGUGUACAUAUUGGACACUACCUGGAUAAAUAUAGAUCGUUGUGAUGGAAGUCUCGGGCUCGUAAUGUGGAGAUGGAUGACUCAAGCAGAGCGACAACAUGUGUACAUGCCAAUUACACAUAAAAAAUACUAACAGUGGUUACUUGUCAAACUCAGUUACUGUUUCUACUGGAAACAUGCAAGCGGAAUUCAGAGAAGAGAUAAUGUCGCAAUCAUCCAAAUGUGCGAUAAAAAAAGUGGUAUGAAAUUGAAGGAUGUCUAUUAACUUACAAAAUCAGAAUAGUAUUGUCAGAGUGCAACAUUAUUCCAAUUUACUAAAAACUCAAAAAUGCUCGAUCGUUCAGAACUGCUUUGGAAGUCAAGUUAAAAGUCCGGAUGGAUUAAUAUUCUUAGGAUAACUGGCCAAGUAUAUGUGCUAUAUUGAGUCUUCAGUUUAGGUUCCGGAUUAAGCCAUCUAUGCAAGUGAACAUACAAAAGAGUGGAUAAUUUCAAAUUAGAUACUCUAGUUAUCCAAGCAUAGCAAGAAAUCAAUGGCAGAAUCAGUCGAAAAACAAAUAUAAGAGCAUGUGCACUAUAGAGGGAAACAAUGGAUCUAUACAUUGUUUUUCCAAUAACAAUUGAUGUAAUUAUGUGGCAGCAGGAAGAUGAAUUCCAGGAGGUAGUAACCUAUGGAGAGGCGAACCAACACUAUACGUACAGAAGCCAAAAUUCAAGUCAAACCUGCAGUAGAAGGUACAGUUACAAUGUGAUCAAUGACGCGACCAUACUGAAAUUGGAGGUAGUUAAAAUCGUAUAAGGAUUAUACGUCCUAUUUCCAACCUACUUACAAAUAGUAUGGUAGUGAUUAAGUUUUCUCACAUAUUUUUUCUACAGUUCCUAGUCUACAGUACUAUUUGAAGUAGAUAUAGUGUCACGCAUGUACACUAAACAUUCUGCUGCUCACAAUGGAACACAUAAAUCUGUUAAUUUCAAAGAAACAUAUUUAGUUGACAAUAUUUGGAUCAUUAUCAAUGUAUAUACCGCCCUGGCUUAAAUAUGCAAAUCACUAAAAGGGCACUCUGAUAUCUUAGGUGGUAAUAUAUAUUAGCAUAUUUUGUAUAAGUUAGCAUCUCUAAAAUCAAAACACUGGAACUCCAAAAGAAAUAUCAUAUUUAUAGGAACGAACCUAGGAAAUAUGGAUCCCAUGGUUACAUCUAUACCUAUACGAAUUUGAACACGCAGAUUUGGCAUGUUUUUCUAGAUCAAAGGGGCACAUGAAUCUAAUGGGAAAUAGAACUGCACGUGGCUUACCUGAUAUCAUCACUACGGUCAUGGAUUUGAAAAGUUGAAAUAAGAGGAGAUUUAAAGAUUUGGGAGGGAGGGGAUUGGAGAGAUUGAGUUGCAGCAUCCAUGGCCAGCGACCUACGGCGGAGAACAAAGAGGGAGAGUCGGUUGGGCGCGUGGCAGCGGUGUACCUCGGGGCGCGACGGAAGCUGCAGCUUCUCCUCGCCGGCCAUGAAUGGGAGCGCCACCGGCCGCCGUCGUCGUGUACCUGAAUACUGAGACCACAUCUCAUGGAUGGAGCCUCUAGGCCUAGGGCAUGGAGAGCGGCAGAAGAGGAAUAGUGUAGGAGGCAGAGGAGGAAGACGGGCCGAUGGGCAGAUAGGUUUUUUCUUUAUUAUAAAAUAAGAGGCGGCCAUGUGCAAUAGUUAGCCCGGCGGGAUUCAUCUAAUGGUUGUAGAAUACAUAACACGGGGUCCCACCAGAUAAACGGCUCUUAAUUUUUAAUUAACGUGGUAAUUUGCAGGGAGUCUCAAAUUAGUAU
rnacentral:lncRNA from 1 species